rnacentral:rRNA from 1 species
GACGAAUGCUGGCGGCGUGCUUAACACAUGCAAGUCGAACGAAGUGGCGAACGGGUGAGUAACGCGUAAUCAACCUGCCCUUCAGAGGGGGACAACAGUUGGAAACGACUGCUAAUACCGCAUACUGAAGGAGGGGUAUGCGUCGGAUUGGCUGGUUGGGGGGGUAACGGCCCACCAAGGCGAUGAUCAGUAGGCGGGCUGGGAGGAUGAACGGCCACAUUGGGACUGAGAAACGGGCCAGACUCCUACGGGAGGCAGCAGUGGGGAAUCUUCCGCAAUGGACGAAAGUCUGACGGAGCAACGCCGCGUGAGUGAUGACGGCCUUCGGGUUGGAAAGCUCUGUUAAUCGGGACGCGGUACCGGAAUAGAAAGCCACGGCUAACUACGUGCCAGCAGCCGCGGUAAUUC